UACAGGGGGGGCAAGCGUUGUUCGGAAUUACUGGGCGUAAAGGGUAUGUAGGUGGCCAACUAAGUCAGACGUGAAAUCCCUCAGCUUAACUGGGGAACUGCGUCUGAUACUGGAUGGCUUGAGUGUGGGAGAGGAAUGCGGAAUUCCAGGUGUAGCGGUGAAAUGCGUAGAUAUCUGGAGGAACACCGGUGGCGAAGGCGGCAUUCUGGACCAUAACUGACACUGAGAGACGAAAGCCAGGGGGGCAAACGGG
rnacentral:rRNA from 1 species